UGUCUGCGUUCGGUUAAGACAAUUUUAUACCAUCCAUGCAGAAAAGACAUAAUGUAAUGUAAAAAAGUAACAAAAGUUAGCGGGCUAAUUUUAAGUUACUGUAGACUGCCGUGUAUCGUAAAAGGUAACACCCGGAUAUAAAGUUGGCGAUACUCCCGGAACGGUGUUGCAGACGACUUAAAGCAGCAGCAGCGUAUGUGGUGGCGUUAACAUCAGGGGAAUGCUUGCCGUCCAGCCGUACCCCUUCUACCCACCAGCUGUGGGGUACCAGGCUUACCCACCGUCCGUCUACCAGCCACCGCCCCGGUCGUAUCCUUGGAGGUCCGUCUUAUGGUUUCUGGCGCUGAUUUUCUUCGGCUGGCCAGUGGCGAUUCUCACGUGUGGGUUCUACGUCAUCCUCAGUCCAUUUGGACCCUGCUGCGCAUGUAUGCGCAUUAUCACUGAUGCGCUUCUUGUGGGCGUGACGCUUCCUUGCACCUGCAGUGAGAAUAUGAUUCGACAAGCCAAAUUUUGUUGAACUUGGUCCAGAUGACUUACCAUGGAGAUAUUAAAAAAUACAACAUCGAAAAACAGCUGGAAAGAAAUAUAAUAUGAAAGUAUAAUAUAGACAAUUUAAAGAAUUAAUUCAAUGUUUUUUUAUUUUUUCAUCGGUGACAUUUUUCUUUGAUUGUGUUGCAUGCGGUCUUUGUGAACAGUAACAGGUUUUCCGUCAAAGUGUCGUCCAUAACAACG